rnacentral:rRNA from 1 species
UACGUAGGGUGCAAGCGUUGUCCGGAAUUAUUGGGCGUAAAGAGCUCGUAGGCGGUUUGUUGCGUCGGCUGUGAAAUCCCGAGGCUCAACCUCGGGUCUGCAGUCGAUACGAGCAAACUAGAGUGUUGCAGGGGAGACUGGAAUUCCUGGUGUAGCGGUGAAAUGACGCAGAUAUCAGGAGGAACACCGGUGGCGAAGGCGGGUCUCUGGGCAACAACUGACGCUGAUGAUGCGAAAGCUAGGGGAGCAAACGGG